rnacentral:rRNA from 1 species
AGAGUUUGAUCCUGGCUCAGCUCGAACGUUGGCGGCGUGCUUGAUACAUGCAAGUCGAACGGUCUGAUUUAUCAGACAGUGGCGGAUUGGUGAGUAACACGUUGGUACCUGCCCCUAACACGAGAAUAACUUCGAGAAAUCGAAGCUAAUACUCGAUAGUCUAUAACUUAUUUUAUAUCUGUUAUAGUAAAGCUCCGGCGGUUAGGGAUGGGCUAGCGCACUAUCAGCUUGUUGGUAGGGUAAUGGCCUACCAAGGCGAUGACGGUUAGGGGGCCCGAGAGGGUGAACCCCCACAGUGGGACUGAGAUAUGGCCCACACUCCUACGGGAGGCAGCAGUAGGGAAUAUUCCGCAAUGCCCGCAAGGGUGACGGAGCGACGCCGCGUGCAGGAUGACAUUCUUCGGGAUGUAAACUGCUUUUCCAUGGGAAGAAAUCUGACUGUACCAUGGGAAUAAGUCACGGCUAAUCACGUGCCAGAAGCCUCGGUGAUACGUGAGUGGCAAACGUUGAGCGGAAUGAUUGGGCGUAAAGCGCAUGUAGGUGGUUAAACAAGUCGUAUGUUAAAUAUUCUGACUUAAUCAGGAGAAUAUAUACGAAACUGUUUUACUAGAGCGUAAGUGGGGUAAGUGGAAUUCCUGGUGUAGGAGUGAAAUCCGUUGAUAUCAGGAGGAACACCAAUGGCGAAGGCAACUUACUAACUUAAUGCUGACACUUAAGUGCGAAAGCGUGGGUAGCAAACAGGAUUAGAUACCCUGGUAGUCCACGCUGUAAACGAUGGAUACUAGCUAUUGGCGGCAUCGACCCCGUCAGUAGUCACAGCUAACGCGUCAAGUAUCCCGCCUGGGGAGUACGGUCGCAAGACUAAAACUCAAAGGAAUUGACGGGGACCCGCACAAGCGGUGGAGCAUGUGGUUUAAUUCGACGCUACGCGAAGAACCUUACCAGGACUUGACAUCCCGAGAAUCCUCCUUAAUCGGAGGAGUGCCGCAAGGAGCUCGGUGACAGGUGCUGCAUGGUUGUCGUCAGCUCGUGUCGUGAGAUGUAAGGUUAAGUCCUCCAACGAGCGCAACCCCUAUUGUCUGUUUUAUAUGUCAGACGAAACUGCUCGGGUAACCGAGAGGAAGGUGGGGAUGACGUCAAAUCAGCAUGGCCCUUACGUCCUGGGCCACACACGUGCUACAAUGGGAAUGACAACAGGUUCGCCAAGUCGCAAGAUGGAGCUAAUCCUAAUAAACAUUCUCUAAGUUCAGAUUGAGGGCUGCAACUCGCCCUCAUGAAGAUGGAAUCGCUAGUAACCGCAGGUCAGACAUACCGCGGUGAAUACGUUCCCGGGUCUUGUACACACCGCCUGUCACGCCACGAAAGUCAGCAACACUCGACAUUCGUUUUUAAAACGAACUAAAGCGGGGCUGGCAAUUGGGACGAAGUCAUAACAAGGUAUCCGUACGGGAACGUGCGGAUG